rnacentral:rRNA from 1 species
CCUACGGGAGGCAGCAGUGAGGAAUAUUGGACAAUGGGCGAGAGCCUGAACCAGCCAAGUAGCGUGAAGGAUGACUGCCCUACGGGUGGUAAACUUCUUUUAUAAAGGAAUAAAGUGAGGCACGUGUGCCUUAUGGAAUGUACUUUAUGAAUAAGGAUGGGCUAACUCUGUGCCAGCAGCCGCGGUAAUACGGAGGAUCCGAGCGUUAUCCGGAGUUAUUGGGUUUAAAGGUAGCGUAGAUGGGUUGUUAAGUCAGUUGUGAAAGUUUGCGGCUCAACAUUCAAAUUGCAAUUGAUACUGGCAGCCUUGAGUCCAUUAGAGGUAAGCGGAAUUCGUGGUGUAGCGGUGAAAUGCUUAGAUAUCACGAAGAACUCCGAUUGCGAAGGCAGCUUACUAAACUGCCACUGACAUUGAUGCUCGAAAGUGUGGGUAUCAAACAGGAUUAGAUACCCUUGUAGUC